rnacentral:snRNA from 1 species
GGAUAUGAGGGUGGUCUGGCUGCAACAUCUGUCACCCUACUGACUGCCAGGGUUGACUUGGCUCCGUGAGUGUCAGUCAUCUUCCUUCCUCAACACUCAAUGUGCAGCUCUUGAAGCUGCACGCUUGGUCAAAGAGAACCAGCCACCCUGAUAGAGGAUGUUUCCUCAGUCAAGGGUAUACGAGUAGCUGCACUCCCCUGCUAGAACCUCCAAACAAGUGCCCACACAGCUUUCUCUUAGUGAUUACUACUUUAAUUUUAAAGUUAUCCGAAAGUUAUUUUUAGGAUUUCAAUUGUUC